AUUGAACGCUGGCGGCAGGCCUAACACAUGCAAGUCGAGCGGAUGAAGGGAGCUUGCUCCUGGAUUCAGCGGCGGACGGGUGAGUAAUGCCUAGGAAUCUGCCUGGUAGUGGGGGAUAACGUCCGGAAACGGGCGCUAAUACCGCAUACGUCCUGAGGGAGAAAGUGGGGGAUCUUCGGACCUCACGCUAUCAGAUGAGCCUAGGUCGGAUUAGCUAGUUGGUGGGGUAAAGGCCUACCAAGGCGACGAUCCGUAACUGGUCUGAGAGGAUGAUCAGUCACACUGGAACUGAGACACGGUCCAGUCUCCUACGGGAGGCAGCAGUGGGGAAUAUUGGACAAUGGGCGAAAGCCUGAUCCAGCCAUGCCGCGUGUGUGAAGAAGGUCUUCGGAUUGUAAAGCACUUUAAGUUGGGAGGAAGGGCAGUAAGUUAAUACCUUGCGGUUUUGACGUUACCAACAGAAUAAGCACCGGCUAACUUCGUG
rnacentral:rRNA from 1 species